GACGAACGCUGGCGGCGUGCCUAAUACAUGCAAGUCGAACGCAGUGGGGACGGGUGAGUAACACGUGGGUAACCUCCCAUCAGAGGGGAUCACACUUGGAAACAGGUGCUAAACCGCUACUGAUGGAUGGCCCCGCGGUGCAUUAGCUAGUUGGUGAGGUAACGGCUCAACAAGGCCACGAUGCAUAGCAGAGCAGAGAGGGUGAUCGGCCACACUGGGACAGAGGCACGGCCCAGAAUCCUACGCUAGGCAGCAGUAGGGAAGCUUCGGCAAUGGACGAAAGUCUGACCGGACAACGCCGCGUGAGUGAAGAAGGUUUUCGGAUCGUAAAACUGUGUUGUUAGAGAAGCGGUAUCUAACCAGAAAGCCACGGCUAACUACGUGCCAGCAGCCGCAGUAAUAC
rnacentral:rRNA from 1 species